GGAGGCCAGCAGGUUGUGCCUCAAAUGACACAGAUUCUCCCUAUUCUCUUACGAGAUGUAGAUUUUCUUAAAUCAAUGUUUCUUCAUUUACUGUAUGCCCUUAACACAUUUUCAGAGACUUUAAAGAGUUGGGUUUUUUAAAAAGAUUUUCCUUUUCCUUUUUCUCCCCAAAGCACCGUGGUACAUAGUUGUAUAUUCUAGUUGUGCGUCCUUCUGGUUGUGGCAUGUGGAACGCCGCCUCAGCGUGGCUUGAGGAGUGUUGCCAUGUCCACGCCCAGGAUCCGAACCAGCAAAACCCUGGGCUGCCUAAGUGCAGCACACGAACCUAACCACUCAGCCACGGGGUCGGCCCCUAGAGUUGGUUUUUUCAAAGUAAUUUCUAUCAGCUAUAGUUGUUUCACUAGGGUGAGGGUUUGCAGAGCUCCUCAUGCCACUAUUCCAGAAAACACAAUGGAUUAGAUUUAUUUAUUGUGUGUGUGUGUGUUUUUAAGAUUGGCACCUGAGCUAACAUCUGUUGCCAAUCUUUUUUUUUUUCUUCUUUUCCCCAAAGCCCCCCAGUACAUAGUUGUAUAUUCUAGUUGUAGGUCCUUCUGGUUAUGCUAUGUGGCACGCCGCCUCAGCAUGGCUUGAUGAGCAGUGCCAUGUCCACGGCCAGGAUCUAAACCAGCGAAACCCUGGGCCGCCUAAGCGGAGUGCACAAACUUAACCACUCAGCCAUGGGGCGGCCUCAGAUUAGAUUUAUUUUUAAACCUCAUGUUCUAUUUAGGACAAAUUGUAUCUUAUGAUUUGGAAGGGACCUCUGACGUCAGUAAGGUCAACCUCUCAAUUAAUGACAUACAUAAACAUGCUUGAAUCAUAGUCCUUUAAUCUCUCCUUGAUGACAAAUAAUUCAUGACUUCCUACACAGGCAACUGGUUUGAUGCUGGGCAGCUUAAAUUAAUAGAAGUUCAUUUUGACCUGUAAUAUGUCUGCAAUUGGUAACAGUUUUGAAAGCAUAUAAACUGAUUCUUUUAUUAAACAGUCCUUCAAAUAUUUGAGACCAGGCAUCUAAUCUCCCUCUACUCUUUUCUUUUUUUUGCUGAGGAAGAUUCACCUUGAGCUAACAUCUAUUGCCAAUAUUCCUCUUUUUUGUGCGUGAGCCACCGCCACAGCAUGGCCACUGACAAGUGGUGUAGGUCUGUGCCAGGAAGUGCACCUGGGCCACUGAAGUGGAGGGCAGCAAACUUAACCACUAGGCUAUCGGCACUGGCCCUUCUCUUUUCUUUUAAAAGAGACAAAUUAGGAGAGACAGCGGACAUCAUACUCAGAGCUGGACUUUGGGGAGCUCUGCUCUCCAACAGACGUCGCUUUAUGGAGCCCUUCGAAACCCUCGAGGUAAACGGAAUUUGCGUCCCCCUCACUCGAGGAACAGGUGCGAGGUGAGGCUGAGAGGGGCCAUGGGAACAGAAUCCGCUUGCCCUGAAGCCUUGCGCUGACACCAGCAGGAAUAUGAACGUGACGUCUUUGAGUGUGUGCUUCUGGAAAGCGUCUCAGUGACAGGACUCAGAACAGCAUCUUGGCGAGGGCCAACACAGGCACCGUGUCGGGAAAAAAUGUUUCUAUCUAGCCCAGGGGUUUGUAUCCUGUCAGAAGUGGACGGCCACAUUCUUCUGUGUGGUUGGGAGUUCUUUUCCAAGUGAAAAUCAGCAUACAAACAGUCCUCUGGUUGCCAUCCUCUGAGAAUUCCAACCUUCCAAAUGGACGCAGCCACCCUGUGGGACGCAGCUUCAGCUCGGUCUUCCAGCCCGACGGCUGCAGUCAGACUCCGCCAUGGGUUUAGGUAAAGCCUUGACUGUGAUGGGAAAGAUCCAGCAUUGUUUCAUGUGCAUGAUCUCAAAUGCAAUGAGUUCCUGUCUGGGGAGCAUCGGAUACUUCACUUCCUAGUCUUGCCCCAUUUUUCCAUCACACGUGUCUUACUAUUGGAGAG
rnacentral:lncRNA from 1 species